CAACGUCAUAGAGAAGAUCUAUAGUGGUCAUGACAACUGAGGGAGAAACGGAGGCUGGUGUCAUUUAAAAAAGCUAGCACUGUGAAAUCGCUCACAAUCAAUGAUUAUUGUGAGCAUUUUUAGGACCGUGGUUAGAGCAGACGACUGCUGAGGAAGAGAAUGAUACACAGUAGAAAGGCUACUUACUACGCUACAGAUCUAGGAUAAGCUUACCCUUCACAAAUUUUAAACUUAACCAUAUGGGGGGAAAUGCACAAAACUGAUCUUAGUCCAGUGUCAAAGGUCAGAGCAAUCCUACACCCGCCUUCAGUAAAAAGAGACGGAUGACGUCAUAUUAUAAAUCAAAACAAUACCAUUUCUAGUCACAAGGUGGUGCUCUUCUCAUGGAGAGACCUGGUGUGUUUUCAGUCACUCACGCAUUGCUGCUCUGUGUCUCUCUAGGGGUUGGAGACUAUCAUCUUCUCUUGUGAGUGCUGGCUGGCCAAGUCAGAGGAUGACGGAGAGACAGUGAGAGAAUUAGUACCUUCUGACAUCAUAACGGAGAAACUACUACGAGACGGAACCCUGAAAGUCAACGAGAUUGAGGUGGAAGAUGCACGGGAGAGUGCAUACACACAAACGCAAGAGAACACAUACGCACAUGCACACACACACACACACACACUGAGGAGGAAGGCUCGGUGGAAAGUACACACACAUGCACACACAUACACACCGGAGGCUGGCCAUUCCAGCAGAAUAUGCCUUUUCGUUUGUCAGAUUAUUUGUCUGCCUGCCUUCUUUGUCUGACAGGUAAAUGAUGUGGCAGUUCUCUGCUCGAAAUUGAUGUCUUCCUCCGCUGCAGUCACACAGUGUUGGGAAUGUGUACCCAUUUGGACACUUGAGCCCAUUAUUAUGCUUUCUGUCUGUGGGUUAUCUCAGUCUGUGUUUUAUGUUAUCUGUCCACCUACAAUGUGUCUGUGACGACGGGUGGCGUUUACAACGCGGGCAUGGAUGCCAACGUUUUCCUCGCCAUCUACGGAGACCUGGGCGGCACGGGUGAUCACAAACUCAGCAAGUUUGAGGCAAACAGGAACAGGUUUGAGAGGAGAGCGGCUACCUGGAGCAGCAGGUAUUGGGCCAGUAACCGAAAGGUUGCUAGAUUGAAUCCCUGAGCUGACAAGGUAAUCUGCCCCUGAACAAGGCAGUUAACCCACUGUUCCCCGGUGGAUAUUCUCCAAAGAGGCGGUGGACCUGUACCAGGUGUUUAGAAUUAAGAUUCGCCAUGACAACAGCAUGGUGAGUGCUGAUUGGUACCUGGACUACGUAGAGGUGGUUGAUGAGGAUCUGGAGGAGGUCUAAGUGUUCGAUGUAGGAGCGCUAGUUGUCCAGGAAAAGAGAGGACAAAUGCAUCGAGCGAAUGUUCUAUGUCAAGGGUUAUGAGGAGGAGAGGGAGACUAUCCAAGGCGGGAAGAAGAGCUCAGCCCUGAUCAUGAAGAGUGUAGACAGCAACGGGCAGAGAAGGAUGCCAGUACCAGCAGCAGGGUCUAUGUGGUCACCAUGGGACCAAACCACACCCAGACGGAGAGGCUGUGGCUGGACCUGCCUGGGGGGGAAGAGGUGCUUCGAUUCUGGGUCUCUGAAGUCCUUCGAGACGCAUGGCGUUGACGUGGGAGAGAUCAGGAAGGUGGCUGUAUGGGUCACAGGACAUUAAGCAUACAGAAUAUUCAUUUCCCAAAGAAAAGUGGUGGUGAACAAAAUAUACUGUAGAUAAAGAAAGAAAAUGCCCGCACACAGUUUAAUGCUGCUAACAAUGAGUGCUUUAUUCCUGUACCAUGUUACACAAACAGUGUUUAGACACAGACGUCUUCAUCGAGUGCAAGGGUCACAACACAUACGCUGAUGGAUGUGGUUGCUCCAUGCCCUCCCUAUAGCUCAGACGGGGCCUCUCCUGAGAGCUGCUAGCUGGUUGAUGAGCUAGCUGUUGCCAUGCCAACCAAAGGGGUCAAAUAUGUUUUCCAGUGUAAGUGCUGGUUAUGGAAACAGGAUGAGCCUGAGCUCAAUUUCGAGUCUUAUAGGAAAGGGUCUGAAUACUUAUGUAAAUAAGGUUUUUAUUAUUUUAUACAUUUGCAAAAAUGUUAAUCCAUUUUAGAAUAAGGCUGUAACGUAACAAAAUGUGGAAAAAGGGAAAGGGUCUGAAUAAUUUCCGAUAUAUAUAUUUCACCUUUAUUUAACCAGGUAGGCCAGUUGAGAACAAGUUCUCAUUUACAACUGUGACCUGGCCAAGACAAAGCAAAGCAGUGUGACACAAACAACACAGAGUUACACUUGGAAUAAACAAACGUACAGUCAAUAACACAAUAGAAAAGUAUAUAUAUACAGUGUGUGUAAAUUAAGUAAGAUUAGGGAGGUAAGGCAAUAAAUAGGCCAUAGUGGCAAAAUAAUUACAAUUUAGCAAUUAAACACUGGAGUGAUAGAUGUGCAGAAGAUGAAUGUGCAAGUAGAGAUACUGGGUUGCAAAGGAGCAACAACAAAAAAAUAACAAUAUGGGGAUGAGGUAGUUGGGUGGGCUAUUUACAGAUGGGCUAUGUACAGGUGCAAUGAUCUGUACGCUGCUCUGACAGCUGAUGCUUAAAGUUAGUGAAGGAGAUACGAGUCUCCAGCUUCAGUGAUUUUUGCAAUUUGUUCCAGUCAUUGGCCCUGUUGUUCCCUCAUAUCCCAAUAAUGCUUUGUAUUACGCCUGGGAAGAAAGCACUUCAAUUUGCUCAACUUGCCAUUGGCUCAACCAUUGACUGAACUUACCCCAUGGCCAUUGGCACAACAUACCCCAAAACACAAAUGUUUACUAUAUUAGCUCACUCAGCUACAAGGAUGCACUUUCAUGCUAGGUUUAGGACUUCAUAUUGAAGCUUAUGAAGACCCUGACUGAUGUAUAGAACAAUCUUAAAAGUAUCUUCUUUGGUUUAGAUACAAGCAUCAUGAUACUUCUAACACAAUACAUUAAUUUGACUUGGUGAAAAUCUGUUCUCUUCCUUCUUCCUUCACACUCCAUAAAAUUAUGACCUCUUGCUAAAUAUUUGGUCACAUGAUUCAUUUUUUGAAUGGUUUCCUAGAAUCAAGGAUGGCUCAACUUACCCCUUUGGCUCAACUUACCCCACUCUCCCCUACAAAGAAAUGUCUUAACAUGUACUUUUUGUCACAUUGAUUAGUUUGGUUUAUCUGUUUGGUUUAACUGGCAGCAUAUGAAUUGUUUAAUUUGAUUGAGUGAUUGAUUCAUUGACUGAUUAUUAGUCAUUGUCUGUCUGUUAUUAUCAGAUCAUCUAUGAGGUGACGGUGGUGACGGUGGUGACGGUAGAUGCUCUGAAUGCAAGAGCAGACACCUAGAUCUAACUGUCUGUGUCACUACAGAGGGCAUCUUGCUGCAGAACAAUGAGGACAGGAUUGAGCGGGGUCAGGAGGACAUGUUCACCCUGGAGGUUGAUGACGUUGCUCCCCUGGGGAAGAUGAAGGCUCGUAUCGACGGCUCUGGUAGCCAACUGGUUGGCUGGACAAGGUCAGUUGGCCGGAUAAGGUCAGCACUGACAACAUGUCACAGUUUACCGGCUCAAUACAACACCGUCUUUGUCUUUGACCUUUUUGAGCAGUAAUUGCUCCAUGUUUACAGUAAGAAUAUAAUACAGUACCAUACAGUCAGUGGAGGCUCCUCAUAGGAGGAAGGGUAGGACCAUCCUACUCAGUGAAUUUCAGGGGGGAAAAAAUAAUUAAACAUCGAUAAGUUAUCCGUUUUAGAUAAAACUAUACUACACUGAACAAAAAUAUAAGUGCAACAUGGAACAAUUCUCUAAUAUUUUUCUGAGUUAGUUCAUAUAAAAAAAAUCUGUCCAUUGAAAUACAUGUAUUAGGCCCUAAUCUAUGAAUUUCACGUGACUGAGAAUACAGAUAUGCAUCUGUUGAUCACAGAUACCUUAAAAAAAGGUAGGGGCGUGUAUCGGAAAACCAGUCAGUAUCUAGUGUGACCACCAUUUGCCUCAUGCAGCGCGACACGACACAUCUCCUUCACAUAGAGUUGAUCAGGCUGUUGUUUGUGGCCUAUGGAAUGUUGUCCCACUUCAAUGGCUGUGCGAAGUUGCUGGAUAUUGGCGGGAACUGGAUAAUGCUGUCAUACACAUCAAUAUAGAGCAUCCCAAGCCUGCUCAAUGGGUGACAUGUCUAGUGAGUAUGCAGACCAUGGAAGAACUGAGACAUUUUCAGCUUCCAGGAAUUGUGUACAGAUCCUUGCGACACGGAGGAUUUUUGCGCCUGGUCAAAGACAGCUGUUGUGUUGUGCACUAAAGUCCACAAGCAAAGGGAAAAGGUGAGAGGAGGAGAUGCGAGAAGGAAUUAUGCAACUAGCUAAAGUAGCGGACUAAACUCCACUCCAUGGUGAAGGAAGUUUAUGAUUUCACCGAGAAAGAGAACGAGAGACCAGGCUUUGUGGAAUCUAGCUCCGACUACAUAAAUACACACAAGUCAAUAUUUUUUAAUUUUUUAUUUGUUUGUCCUCUGUAGUUGUGUUCCUUUCUCUGUUUGCUGAAAUCCACACCUUUUCA